GAUGAAGAACGCAGCGAAAUGCGAUACGUAAUGUGAAUUGCAGAAUUCAGUGAAUCAUCGAAUCUUUGAACGCAUAUUGCGCUCUCUGGUAUUCCGGAGAGCAUGCUUGUUUGAGUAUCAGUAAACACCUCAACUCCCUUUUCUUUUUUGAAAUGGGAGCUGGACUUGAGUGAUCCCAACACUUUUCUCACUGGAAAGUGGCGGGUCACUUGAAAUGCAGGUGCAGCUGGCCUUUUCUCUGAGCUAUAAGCAUAUCUAUUUAGUCUGCCUAAAAAACAGAUUAUUACCUUUGCUGCAGCUAACAUAAAGGAGAUGAGUUCUUGUGCUGACUGAUGCAGGAUUCACAGAGACAGCUUUGCGGCUGACUUUGUAAACUCGAUCUCAAAUCAAGUAAGACUACCCGCUGAACUUAAGCAUAUCAAUAAGCGGAGGA
rnacentral:misc_RNA from 1 species